GACGAACGCUGGCGGCGUGCUUAACACAUGCAAGUCGAACGGAAAGGCCCUGCUUUUGUGGGGUGCUCGAGUGGCGAACGGGUGAGUAACACGUGAGUAACCUGCCCUUGACUUUGGGAUAACUUCAGGAAACUGGGGCUAAUACCGGAUAGCAGCUCCUGCUGCAUGGUGGGGGUUGGAAAGUUUCGGCGGUUGGGGAUGGACUCGCGGCUUAUCAGCUUGUUGGUGGGGUAGUGGCUUACCAAGGCUUUGACGGGUAGCCGGCCUGAGAGGGUGACCGGCCACAUUGGGACUGAGAUACGGCCCAGACUCCUACGGGAGGCAGCAGUGGGGAAUAUUGCACAAUGGGCGGAAGCCUGAUGCAGCAACGCCGCGUGCGGGAUGACGGCCUUCGGGUUGUAAACCGCUUUCGCCUGUGACGAAGCGUGAGUGACGGUAAUGGGUAAAGAAGCACCGGCUAACUACGUG
rnacentral:rRNA from 1 species